rnacentral:lncRNA from 10 species
CUGGAAUAUGCUAAAUCCAAUGAUGGAGUUAGCAUAUGGCUCUUUGGCAGCUCAAAGGAGAGCCUCACUACCCCAGACCUCAAGGCAUGAGGACGGUUUCCCAGAAGAACAAACUAAGUGAGUGCUUCAGCUCCCACUGCAUCAGGAUAUAGGGAGGAAGGGAGGAGAAAUUGGUAACUUCUCCAAUAUGCCAAACGCAUCUGUAGAACAGUAUUUUAUGAAACAUCUGUUUUUAAGAUAGCAUUAUGGUGGCCUACAAAUAAAACCUUGGUAGGUUAUAAUUAAGCAUAUGAUGAUAACUGUCUUCCUUUUCUCAGAGAACAAUGUCUUGGCCUGCACAGAAUUGAUUUAAUGACCUCACUAUCCUUAAAAUAAGGGGAUGGAUACUUUUGAUUUUUUGGAAGGGGUUAGAAGUCAUCCAUCCUGUGGACAGGGAGGACACACCACCUCCUCUGUGAGACAGCACUGGGGAAACAAUGAGACCUCAGAGGGAAGAUGCCUGGAAGACAUGAAGUAGAGAACCUGUGGAACUGAGGUUUCCAACAUCAGUUGGCAUUUCCAUUAACAGAAGCAGCAGUCAGCAGUCCUCGAGGAGCUGAGCAAGUUCUGCCAAUGGACCGCUCAUCAUGAAUUGUCAAAGGUGAAGACAGAGAGACACUGAGAGAUAUUAAGGGAUUGAUCCAGCCUCACCAUCAGUGGAGACCAGGUGGGUCCUCCAGAAGUAUUCCAGAAGAAGGCAUUGUUAUCAUAGGAGAUGACAUUUCCAUGGAUGUUACUGCCCCUGAAGACCUUCCAGUGGAAGAAGAUGUGGAAGUGGGAGACAGUGAUAUUGAUGACCCUCACCCUGUGGAAGCCUAGACUAAUGUGUGUCUUUGUGUCUUCAUUUUUAACAAAGAAGUUGAAAAAAUAAAAAUAAAUUUAAGAAUUUAGAAAUUGAAAAAAGCUUAUAGAAUAAGGAUAUAAGGAAGAAUAUUUUUAUACAGCUAUACAAUAUGUUUGUGUUUAAGCUAAGCUUUAUUGUGAGUCAAAAAAGUUUUAAAAAUUUAAAAGUUUGUGAAAAAGUUAUGGUAAGCUAAGGUUAAUUUCCUAUUGAAAAAAAUAAAUGUAAAUACAUUUAGCGUGGCCUAAGUGUACAAUGUUUAUAAAGUCUACAGUAGUGCACAGUAAUGUCCCACACCUUCACAUUCACUCACCACUCACUCACUCACGGACCCACCCAGAGCAACUCACAGUUCCUGCAAGCUCCAUUCAUGGUAAAUACCCUAUACAGGUGCAACAUUUUUAAGCUUUUAUACUGUAUCUUGUACACAUAUUUUUACUGGAACUUUUGUAUGUUUAGAUACAUAAAUACUUAUCACUGUGUUAUCAUUGCCUAUGGUACUCAGUACAAUAACAUGCUCUACAGGUUUGUAGCCCGGGAGCAAUAGGCUGUACCAUACAGCCCAGGUGUGUAGGGGCUAUACCAUCGAGGCCUGUGUAAGUACACUCUAUUAUGUUCACACAAUUACAAAAUUGCCUGAUGAUGCAUUUCUCAGAAUGUAUCCUCAUCAUUACAUGAUGCAUGACUGUAUUUUGGUUUAUGCUUCCCAAUGUCUCUUAAUAGAAGAUUGUUAGAGUUUGAAAGGAUCUCAAUAAUCACUCGCACUUCUUACUUUAUAGAAGGGAAAAAUGAGGAGUGUAAUUGAUUAGUCAGGCUGAUGAAAGAGUCAGGAACGUGAGUUUGGAUGUUCUGACUCCUCUCCAGGUCUCCUAAUAGGGUGCUCCACCUUCCUCCUUUCCCUCCCCUUCUUCCCCCUCCUCUUCCCCAUUCCUCGCCCGUUCCCCUUACCUGAUUUCUCUACUUUCUCUCUCUCUCCCAUUCUCUCUUUCUCUCCAUCUCUCUCUCUCUCUCUCUUGCUCUUGCUCUCGCUCUCUCUCCCCCACGUACACAGUGGUAUUAGGAAAUAGGAAAUCAGAGUUCUUGUUCUGAGUCUGCCAAGGAACGAUCAUGUGACUUGCUGAAAGUCAUCCAGUCUCAGCACUUGUUUGACCAUCUGUAAAAUGAAGGUGCUGACUAAAGAGUCUCAGUAACAGUGACAAUUCCAUGUGUUCACAAAACGCAGCUCUUUUCCUUCUGGGCAUGUGGGAAAACUACAUUUUCCAGCUUUUGCUUUAUUAUUUGGGGCCAGAUAAUUGAGUUUUGACCAGCGUAAUGGUGGAGGUGGCAUAUCUCACUCCAAGACUUGAGAGUAAUGCACCCUGCCAAGGCCUCCUCACUCUUCUUUCCUUCUGUGUGACCUUGGAGAGCAGGUAGGAAGUUGGAAGUACUGCAAGAUGGGGAAUGACUGUGGACCAUUGUGUCACCUGCCACCACAUGCCCCUCCUUCACAUCCACUAUUUUGGGCCACGGCAUGAAAGCACUAAACCUUUGUUAAGUUACUUUGAAUUAGGGAUUGUUAUAGCAGUUAACACAACCUAACUAAUAAAAAUAUGUAAGGCUGCUCAGAGAGUUGAAUCUCUAAGAUUCUGUGAAUCAGUGUUACUUGAUUUUAUUCUCCUUCCUUCAAUGUUUAUUAAGCAACUACAAUGUACCA